UUGAACGCUGGCGGCAGGCCUAACACAUGCAAGUCGAACGGUAACAGGAAGCAGCUUGCUGCUUUGCUGACGAGUGGCGGACGGGUGAGUAAUGUCUGGGAAACUGCCUGAUGGAGGGGGAUAACUACUGGAAACGGUAGCUAAUACCGCAUAACGUCGCAAGACCAAAGAGGGGGACCUUAGGGCCUCUUGCCAUCGGAUGUGCCCAGAUGGGAUUAGCUAGUAGGUGGGGUAAAGGCUCACCUAGGCGACGAUCCCUAGCUGGUCUGAGAGGAUGACCAGCCACACUGGAACUGAGACACGGUCCAGACUCCUACGGGAGGCAGCAGUGGGGAAUAUUGCACAAUGGGCGCAAGCCUGAUGCAGCCAUGCCGCGUGUAUGAAGAAGGCCUUCGGGUUGUAAAGUACUUUCAGCGGGGAGGAAGGGAGUAAAGUUAAUACCUUUGCUCAUUGACGUUACCCGCAGAAGAAGCACCGGCUAACUCCGUGCCAGCAGCCGCGAUAAUACGGAGGGUGCAAGCGUUAAUCGGAAUUACUGGGCGUAAAGCGCACGCAGGCGGUUUGUUAAGUCAGAUGUGAAAUCCCCGGGCUCAACCUGGGAACUGCAUCUGAUACUGGCAAGCUUGAGUCUCGUAGAGGGGGGUAGAAUUCCAGGUGUAGCGGUGAAAUGCGUAGAGAUCUGGAGGAAUACCGGUGGCGAAGGCGGCCCCCUGGACGAAGACUGACGCUCAGGUGCGAAAGCGUGGGGAGCAAACAGGAUUAGAUACCCUGGUAGUCCACGCCGUAAACGAUGUCGACUUGGAGGUUGUGCCCUUGAGGCGUGGCUUCCGGAGCUAACGCGUUAAGUCGACCGCCUGGGGAGUACGGCCGCAAGGUUAAAACUCAAAUGAAUUGACGGGGGCCCGCACAAGCGGUGGAGCAUGUGGUUUAAUUCAAUGCAACGCGAAGAACCUUACCUGGUCUUGACAUCCACAGAACUUUCCAGAGAUGGAUUGGUGCCUUCGGGAACUGUGAGACAGGUGCUGCAUGGCUGUCGUCAGCUCGUGUUGUGAAAUGUUGGGUUAAGUCCCGCAACGAGCGCAACCCUUAUCCUUUGUUGCCAGCGGUCCGGCCGGGAACUCAAAGGAGACUGCCAGUGAUAAACUGGAGGAAGGUGGGGAUGACGUCAAGUCAUCAUGGCCCUUACGACCAGGGCUACACACGUGCUACAAUGGCGCAUACAAAGAGAAGCGACCUCGCGAGAGCAAGCGGACCUCAUAAAGUGCGUCGUAGUCCGGAUUGGAGUCUGCAACUCGACUCCAUGAAGUCGGAAUCGCUAGUAAUCGUGGAUCAGAAUGCCACGGUGAAUACGUUCCCGGGCCUUGUACACACCGCCCGUCACACCAUGGGAGUGGGUUGCAAAAGAAGUAGGUAGCUUAACCUUCGGGAGGGCGCUUACCACUUUGUGAUUCAUGACUGGGGUG
rnacentral:rRNA from 1 species